rnacentral:rRNA from 1 species
AACGAACGCUGGCGGCGUGCCUAACACAUGCAAGUCGAACGUGAUCCGGAGCUUGCUCCGGUGAAAGUGGCGCACGGGCGAGUAACGCGUAGAUCAUCUGCCUGGUGAUCCGGGAUAACACUUCGAAAGGGGUGCUAAUACCGGAUAAGCCCACGGAGUCCUUGGACUCUGCGGGAAAAGGAGGGGACCUUCGGGCCUUCCGUCAUCAGAUGAGUCUGCGUACCAUUAGCUAGUUGAUAGGGUAGAGGCCUACCAAGGCGACGAUGGUUAGCUGGUCUGAGAGGAUGAUCAGCCACACUGGAAAUGGGACACGGUCCAGGCUCCUACGGGAGGCAGCAGUGGGGAAUUUUGCGCAAUGGGGGAAACCCUGACGCAGCAACGCCGCGUGAGUGAUGAAGGCCCUUGGGUCGUAAAGCUCUGACAGAGGGAAAGAAAUGUGGGUGGCUAAUAUCCAUUCCACUUGACGGUACCCUCAAAGGAAGCACCGGCUAACUCCGUGCCAGCAGCCGCGGUAAAAC